rnacentral:rRNA from 1 species
CCUAGCGGCAAUAGCGCGGUGGUCCCACCUGACCCCAUGCCGAACUCAGUAGUGAAACGCCGUAGCGCCGA